UUCACCUGUGUCUCAUUAGCCCUUCCCUCAUGUGCAUUUAUAGACCUAUCUUUCCCAGUGUGUGUUGUCAGAUUGUCUGCAUUCUCGUUCAACCCAACAGGUGAAAAACGAACCUGGAGGCAGUAGAAAAUGAAAUACAGAAAUGUAACUCAAUCAGCCAACAGAAAGAGGGCAGAGGCCCCUAAAAUGGGUGGAGGACCUGCACCACCACCUCUAACAGGGGCAGAGGAGAUGGCGCUUAGCCAAACUAUUGGAAGACCAGUGGCUGAGGGAAUCCCAGGGGGCAGCUCAUCUGAGCCAGUCACCCCCCAGGACACAAGUGUCUUCAUAACAUACUCCGAGGGACGUCUCCACCUCUUGGAGCCUCAUGUAGCCCAACUCCAGCCUGUUGAUAAAGAAGAUGAAGACACUGUAUCUGCUGUCACAGAAAGGCCU